rnacentral:rRNA from 1 species
AGCGAACGCUGGCGGCAGGCCUAACACAUGCAAGUCGAACGAAGUCUUCGGACUUAGUGGCGGACGGGUGAGUAACACGUGGGAACGUACCUUUUGGUUCGGAACAACUCAGGGAAACUUGAGCUAAUACCGGAUGAGCCCUUAGGGGGAAAGACUUAUCGCCGAAAGAGCGGCCCGCGUUAGAUUAGCUAGUUGGUGAGGUAAAGGCUCACCAAGGCAACGAUCUAUAGCUGGUCUGAGAGGAUGAUCAGCCACACUGGGACUGAGACACGGCCCAGACUCCUACGGGAGGCAGCAGUGGGGAAUCUUGCGCAAUGGGCGAAAGCCUGACGCAGCCAUGCCGCGUGAAUGAUGAAGGUCUUAGGAUUGUAAAAUUCUUUUACCAGGGACGAUAAUGACGGUACCUGGAGAAAAAGCCCCGGCUAACUUCGUGCCAGCCGCCGCAGUAACAC